CUGAGAGGAUGACCAGCCACACUGGAACUGAGACACGGUCCAGACUCCUACGGGAGGCAGCAGUGGGGAAUAUUGCACAAUGGGCGCAAGCCUGAUGCAGCCAUGCCGCGUGUAUGAAGAAGGCCUUCGGGUUGUAAAGUACUUUCAGCGGGGAGGAAGGGAGUAAAGUUAAUACCUUUGCUCAUUGACGUUACCCGCAGAAGAAGCACCGGCUAACUCCGUGCCAGCAGCCGCGGUAAUACGGAGGGUGCAAGCGUUAAUCGGAAUUACUGGGCGUAAAGCGCACGCAGGCGGUUUGUUAAGUCAGAUGUGAAAUCCCCGGGCUCAACCUGGGAACUGCAUCUGAUACUGGCAAGCUUGAGUCUCGUAGAGGGGGGUAGAAUUCCAGGUGUAGCGGUGAAAUGC
rnacentral:rRNA from 1 species